rnacentral:rRNA from 1 species
GACGAACGCUGGCGGCGUGCUUAACACAUGCAAGUCGAACGAGAAAGGCUCUUCGGAGCUGAGUACAGUGGCGAACGGGUGAGUAACACGUGGGCAACCUGCCCUAUGGAGCGGGACAACCCGGGGAAACUCGGGCUAAUACCGCAUGAUUCGUACAGUCUCAAGUCUGUACGGGAAAUGGUAGCUUCGGCCUCCGCCAUGGGAUGGGCCCGCGGCGCAUUAGCUUGUUGGUGGGUAAUGGCUCACCAAGGCGACGAUGCGUAGCUGGUCUGAGAGGACGAUCAGCCACACUGGGACUGAGACACGGCCCAGACACCUACGGGAGGCAG